AGCUCAGCCGGUAGAGCAGCUGAUUUGUAAUCAGCAGGUCGGGGGUUCAAAUCCACUUAAUCU
rnacentral:tRNA from 1 species